CCAAAGGCUCUUUUCAGAGCCACCCACCGAUCUCUGAAACCAGCUG
rnacentral:ncRNA from 1 species